rnacentral:lncRNA from 1 species
UAUAUACAAAAUAUCUAUACUCAUUAUUUCUAUACAGUGUAUUGGGCCAUUGGGCCAGAGUUAAAUAAAAAUGUACAGAUGGACUACUUGGGCUGCUGGCUGAUGUGUUGCUGCUUCAGUGAAUUGGGCUGCUGACUGGGCCCAAUAACUCCAACACCCCCUGCAAGGUGGAGGGUGACUGAACCCCCAGCUUGAGCAUGAUAGAAUGAUGCAGAAGACCAGUGAGAGGCUUAGUAAAAUAUCCGCAAGCUGAGAAGUAGUGGGAACAUGGUGCAAAGUAAUGAGGCCUUCAUGAAGCUUGCCUCAAAUGAAAUCACAAUCCACUUCUAUAUGUUUGGUCCGCUCAUGGAAAACUGGAUUCUUUGCAAUGUGAAGUGCUGCUUGAUUAUCACAAAAGACAGGGACAGGGGAGGUAACAGGGACUCCCAAUGACAAUCCACUUCUAUAUGUUUGGUCCGCUCAUAGAAAACUGGAUUCUUUGCAAUGUGAAGUGCUGCUUGAUUAUCACAAAAGACUGGGACAGGGGAGGUAACAGGGACUCCAAAAUCAGACAUCAAACGAGUGAGCCAUGUGAGCUCACCAACAACCUUGUUGAUGGCUCUAUAUUCAGCCUAAGCAGAAGACAAAGAAACCACAGGCUGCUUUUUAGCUUUCCAACCAAUGAGAGAAUCACCAAUCAUCACACAAAAACCAGAGAUAGACCUCGUGGUGUCUGGGCAGGAU